rnacentral:rRNA from 1 species
AUCGGGGCAGGGUGAGUCGACCCCUAAGGCGAGGCCGAAAGGCGUAGUCGAUGGGAAACAGGUUAAUAUUCCUGUACUUGGUGUUACUGCGAAGGGGGGACGGAGAAGGCUAUGUUGGCCGGGCGACGGUUGUCCCGGUUUAAGCGUGUAGGCUGGUUUUCCAGGCAAAUCCGGAAAACCAAGGCUGAGGCGUGAUGACGAGGCACUACGGUGCUGAAGCGACAAAUGCCCUGCUUCCAGGAAAAGCCUCUAAGCAUCAGGUAACAUCAAAUCGUACCCCAAACCGACACAGGUGGUCAGGUAGAGAAUACCAAGGCGCUUGAGAGAACUCGGGUGAAGGAACUAGGCAAAAUGGUGCCGUAACUUCGGGAGAAGGCACGCUGAUAUGUAGGUGAAGCGACUUGCUCGUGGAGCUGAAAUCAGUCGAAGAUACCAGCUGGCUGCAACUGUUUAUUAAAAACACAGCACUGUGCAAACACGAAA